rnacentral:rRNA from 1 species
UAGGGAAUCUUCCGCAAUGGACGAAAGUCUGACGGAGCAACGCCGCGUGAGUGAAGAAGGAUUUCGGUUCGUAAAACUCUGUUGUUAGGGAAGAAAAAAUGUAUAGUAACUAUAUACAAAAGAGAUGGUACCUAACCAGAAAGCCACGGCUAACUACGUGCCAGCAGCCGCGGUAAUACGUAGGUGGCAAGCGUUGUCCGGAAUUAUUGGGCGUAAAGCGCGCGCAGGUGGUUUAGAAAGUCUGAUGUGAAAGCCCACGGCUCAACCGUGGAGGGUCAUUGGAAACUAAUAAACUUGAGUGCAGGAGAGAAAAGUGGAAUUCCUAGUGUAGCGGUGAAAUGCGUAGAGAUUAGGAGGAACACCGGUGGCGAAAGCGGCUUUUUGGCCUGCAACUGACACUGAGGCGCGAAAGCGUGGGGAGCAAACAGG